CUCCGGCACAGCUCCCGCCCACUGCAGCUCUUCCUGACUGCUUGGAUCUCGGUUACCCCUAUGAAGCAAUUUCCUGCCUCUUUCAGGCUCAUUUCUCAACUCCCAGAUUUUUGAACAACUUAUCACUGGCAUCUUCCUUCACUCAAACAUAAAACAUACAUGUAAAAUAUUUCCCGAAACGUCUGGUGAGGGGGACUCAGAAGGGGCUAUGGGCAGAAUCACCUCAACGCGUGUUAUUUGUGACCCAACGUGUACAUCUCCACGCACACGGAGCUCAGCCACGAGGAGCAAAGGCUGUCCCGAAAUCUCACUAUUCCACAUGCUUCGGAUUGUGCCCGACUGCUGCACAUUGGAACUCCUGCUCUCCAAGCAGUAAAGAUGAAUCCGGCAGGAUCUGAUUUACUGAGCACCGCAACAUUUUCAGAGGGAAUUUCCAGGACAACAAAACCAGCCCGUGGUACUUUUAAGCACGGUGCCAUCCUUUAUUCUGUAAAUCCCCCGAGUUCGUUGUCAAUUGGCAGCUCUUCCCAGCUGCGUCCCAACGUGCCACCUUCACAACCGCUGCCUCAGCACCAGCGGCCUCCGCCGCCGCCCCAGAGACACUUCAGCACCAACAGCCUUUACCUGCGGCGCGAGGAGCGGACGGCAGAGCGGGACACGCGCUGAGGGGAGCGGCGCGAGCACCCUCCCC
ensembl:lncRNA